UACGUAGGGGGGCUAGCGUUGUCCGGAAUCAUUGGGCGUAAAGAGCGUGUAGGCGGUCCGGUAAGUCCGCUGUGAAAGUCAAGGGCUCAACCCUUGAAUGCCGGUGGAUACUGUCGGGCUAGAGUCCGGAAGAGGCGAGUGGAAUUCCUGGUGUAGCGGUGAAAUGCGCAGAUAUCAGGAGGAACACCGAUGGCGAAGGCAGCUCGCUGGGACGGUACUGACGCUGAGGCGCGAAAGCGUGGGGAGCAAACAGG
rnacentral:rRNA from 1 species